rnacentral:rRNA from 1 species
CCUACGGGUGGCAGCAGUGAGGAAUAUUGGUCAAUGGACGAGAGUCUGAACCAGCCAAGUAGCGUGAAGGAUGAAUGCCCUAUGGGUUGUAAACUUCUUUUAUAUGGGAAUAAAAUGUUCCACGUGUGGGAUUUUGUAUGUACCUUAUGAAUAAGGAUCGGCUAACUACGUGCCAGCAGCCGCGGUAAUACGGAGGAACCGAGCGUUAUCCGGAUUGAUUGGGUUUAAAGGGAGCGUAGGUGGAUUGUUAAGUCAGUUGUGAAAGUGUGCGGCUCAACCGUAAAAUUGCAGUUGAAACUGGCAGUCUUGAGGACAGUAGAGGUGAGCGGAAUUCGUGGUGUAGCGGUGAAAUGCUUAGAUAUCACGAAGAACUCCGAUUGCGAAGGCAGCUCUCUGGACUGCAACUGACACUGAGGCUCGAAAGUGUGGGUAGCAAACAGGAUUAGAUACCCCAGUAGUC